rnacentral:misc_RNA from 1 species
UUUCCGUAGGUGAACCUGCGGAAGGAUCAUUCAUAAUAAAGUGUUUUAUGGCACUUUUUAAAAAUCCAUAUCCACCUUGUGUGCAAUGUUAGAUCUCGUCAAUCUUGGCGAGAUUUUUAUACAUCAACUCAUUCUUUAACUAAUUUGUCUGAAAAAUAUUAUGAGUACUUAAUUCAAAAUACAACUUUCAACAACGGAUCUCUUGGCUCUCGCAUCGAUGAAAACGCAGC